rnacentral:rRNA from 1 species
AUGGCGGAAGCCCUUGCUCUCAAGUUUGGUUUAACUCUGGCGCAAAGGGCAGGAUGUAAUCGCCUUAUUAUUAACUCAGAUAACCUGGAGGUAAUUUAUACUAUGCAGGAUGGAGGACAAUCAGCGGCAGCAAUCUUCGAUGAUUGUUUUCAUUACGCUUGUGAUUUUAGUAUUACUAGAUUCGAACAUUGUGAUAGAGAAGCAAAUAAAGUAGCCCAUGAGCUUGCUAAAUUAGCUAGAUUUUCUUAGACUUCUGUCUGGUUUGAGGAACCUGUAGAUGAGAUUAUAAUGAUCCUCAUGAACGAUGUACUUCUUAUAUCUAAUGAAUAA